rnacentral:rRNA from 1 species
GAUGAACGCUGGCGGCGUGCUUAACACAUGCAAGUCGAACGGAAAGGCCCAAGCUUGCUUGGGUACUCGAGUGGCGAACGGGUGAGUAACACGUGGGUGAUCUGCCCUGCACUUCGGGAUAAGCCUGGGAAACUGGGUCUAAUACCGGAUAGGACAACUUCUUGGAUGUUGUGGUGGAAAGUUUUUUCGGUGUGGGAUGAGCUCGCGGCCUAUCAGCUUGUUGGUGGGAUAAUGGCCUACCAAGGCGUCGACGGGUAGCCGGCCUGAGAGAGUGUACGGCCACAUUGGGACUGAGGUACGGCCCAGACACCGACGGGAGGCAGCAGGGGGGAAGAUUGCAGGAUGGGCGCAGGCCUGAUGCAGCGACGCCGCGGGGGGGAUGACGGUCUUAGGGGUGUAAACUCCAUGCGCUAGGGACGAAGCGUGUUGUGACGGUACCUGAAGAAAAAGCACCGGCUAACUACGUG